rnacentral:rRNA from 1 species
UACGAAGGUGGCAAGCGUUGUUCGGAUUUACUGGGCGUACAGGGAGCGUAGGCGGUUGGAUAAGCCCUCCGUGAAAUCUCCAGGCUUAACCUGGGAAGUGCAGAGGGGACUGUUCAGCUAGAGGAUGGGAGAGGAGCGCGGAAUUCCCGGUGUAGCGGUGAAAUGCGUAGAGAUCGGGAGGAAGGCCGGUGGCGAAGGCGGCGCUCUGGAACAUUUCUGACGCUGAGGCUCGAAAGCGUGGGGGAGCAAACAGG